CGGAGUGUAGCGCAGCCUGGUAGCGCACUUGUCUGGGGGGCAAGUGGUCGUGGGUUCAAAUCCCGCCACUCCGACCA
rnacentral:tRNA from 1 species